rnacentral:lncRNA from 1 species
CUUUGGAUCAAUUUUCCCAUAGAAGAAUCAGACUCAAAGAUUCAAAGGUUCUCAUGGCAUUAUGAUGUCACGACACUCACUUUUGAGCUGCUGCUUCUUUGCGUCUGAAGAAAUUUCCAGUGACUACCAUGAAGUCAUACUCGACUGCUGAAUAUUAUCCAUGAAGGAACAAGAGAAAAUUGGCAUAGACUGGGAGAUCCAAUGAGACAGAGGAUGAAGAACUUAGCCAAGAAGUCAGAAGGAUAAGAAAGACAAGGUAAGCUAAAACAGAAAUGAAUACUGGAAUAGGUAUGUAACUAUGCCAUUUCAUCUACCUGUGUACUUUCCCUACUCUCAACUGACGCUGCAAGUCUGAUCCAGGAGAUGCUCUUUAAUGGGAAGCCUCACCUGGUAUUGGAGAGCUACUCUUGAUGUGAGAAGACCAAGAGUGAUAGCAGUUCUUCAUGAUCUACUCUGGGAGGCAUCUAUGAUAAAAAGACAACACCUCAAGGAUCUGCCAAAAGAAAAGAUAAACUUGGCAAAGUUUAAGUGAUUGGAAGAGAAAAUGUUACUUCUAAUACCUGUGCUCCUGAGCUGCGAUUUGCAGAGAGAUCAUGGGACUGGUUGCUUGGGAGCUGACCAGCUGACUCC